rnacentral:rRNA from 1 species
UACGUAGGGAGCAAGCGUUGUCCGGAAUCAUUGGGCGUAAAGCGCACGUAGGCGGCCCUGUAAGUCCGCUGUAAAAGUCAAAGGCUCAACCUUUGAAAGCCGGUGGAUACUGCAGGGCUAGAGUCCGGAAGAGGCGAGUGGAAUUCCUGGUGUAGCGGUGGAAUGCGCAGAUAUCAGGAGGAACACCAAUAGCGAAGGCAGCUCGCUGGGACGGUACUGACGCUGAGGCGCGAAAGCGUGGGGAGCGAACAGGA